AUCGCUUCCCGGCCUUUUGGCUAAGAUCAAGUGUAGUAUCUGUUCUUACCAGUUUAAAAAAUAUUUCUCGGGGCGCCUGGGUGGCUCAGUCGUUAAGCGUCUGCCUUCAGCUCAGGUCAUGACCCCAGGGUCAUGGGAUCGAGCCCCACAUCGGGCUCCAUGCUCAGCGGGAAGCCUGCUUCUCCCU